GAUGAACGCUGGCGGCGUGCUUAACACAUGCAAGUCGAACGAUGAAGCCCAGCUUGCUGGGUGGAUUAGUGGCGAACGGGUGAGUAACACGUGAGUAACCUGCCCUUGACUCUGGGAUAAGCCUGGGAAACUGGGUCUCAUACUGGAUAUGACUUCUCAUCGCAUGGUGGGGGGUGGAAAGAUUUAUUGGUCUUGGAUGGACUCGCGGCCUAUCAGCUUGUUGGUGAGGUAAUGGCUCACCAAGGCGACGACGGGUAGCCGGCCUGAGAGGGUGACCGGCCACACUGGGACUGAGACACGGCCCAGACUCCUACGGGAGGCAGCAGUGGGGAAUAUUGCACAAUGGGCGCAAGCCUGAUGCAGCGACGCCGCGUGAGGGAUGACGGCCUUCGGGUUGUAAACCUCUUUCAGUAGGGAAGAAGCGAGAGUGACGGUACCUGCAGAAGAAGCGCCGGCUAACUACGUG
rnacentral:rRNA from 1 species